CAAAUACUCCCUCCGUCCGGAAAUACUUGCCAUCAAAAUGAAUAAAAGGAGAUGUAUCUAGAUAUAUUUUAGUUCUAGAUACAUCCCUUUUUAUUCAUUUUGAUGACAAGUAUUUUCGGACGGAGGGAGUAUGCA
rnacentral:pre_miRNA from 1 species